rnacentral:rRNA from 1 species
UUAAAUUGAAGAGUUUGAUCAUGGCUCAGAUUGAACGCUGGCGGCAGGCCUAACACAUGCAAGUCGAACGGUAACAGGAAGCGCUUGCUGCUUCGCUGAC